GACGAACGCUGGCGGCGUGCUUAACACAUGCAAGUCGAACGGAGUGGCGAACGGGUUAGUAGCCAGUAGGUUACCUGCCCUGCACUUAGGCAAAAGCCUGAGAAACUGGUUCUACUACCGGUUAGUGGGGGCUGGUCCCGCGUCCUAUCAGCUUGUUGGUGGGGUAGUGGCCUACCAAGGCGGCGACGGGUAGCCGGCCUGAGCGGGUGGACGGCCACAUUGGGACUGAGACAUGGCCCAGACUCCUACGGGAGGCAGCAGUGGGGAAUAGUGCACAAUGGGGGGAAGCCUGAUGCAGCGACGCCGCGUGGGGGAUGACGGCCUUCGGGUUGUAAACUGCUUUGACCAUUGACGCGGUAGAUGGAGAAGAAGCACCGGCUAACUACGUGCCAGCAGCCGCGGUAAUUC
rnacentral:rRNA from 1 species